UGAGAAAAGCAAAGAAAUGGAUGGGCUUCU
rnacentral:piRNA from 1 species